UCGAAAACAGACGUAUCCACGUCAAAAUUGAGCAAAACGUUUCCACCAAAAAUAUAAUUUGCAGUGAGAUGUUGAAAUUUUUAUGCUGAAACUCUGGGCCGUGUGCUGGGUAUAUAUAAGGUCAAUUUUCCGAAAAACAAGGCAACUUUGAGCUUGAAUACGUGAUUAAGGGCAACCCUGAGAAUGAGAAAUCCCACGGCGCUUCAUUAAGAGUGGGAGGCACGGGUACAAGUGGAAAUCACGUAGAGAAGGGGUACCCGCCGAAGGAAAAACUUAUACUGGAAGACGACUCCGUGCACACGACUCAUAUCCAAAUGCACGAGUCGCAAGGGGCGUGUAUACGUAUUGGGACUUACCGACUCGAAAUAGCCGCCCCGGGUGUUGGGACAUUCCACCAACAAUCGUAGUUUCACCUUCACUUCAUGUUAGGGACUGAGAACGCAUCUCCGUUUUCAUUCCCAGUCUCCACUGAAAGAACGACAUAGAACGAAAACGUUCUUACGAGAACGUUCUCCAGAGAACGAAAGUCGGGAAUGAAAUAUCGAGAACUAUCUCGCAAAGAGCGAAAGUGAGAUCGAGAACGUUAUUUCGAAAAACAAAAAUAAGAAUGAAUUUUGAGGGUUCUCAACUGCCGUUAGGACCUCGUCGUGCUGUUACUGAAGGGAUAUACUGUGAGAGCUCGAGGUCAUUCGGAAACGACAACUCUACUAAAACUCAUACCUCCGAUACUAUUGUUACAGACUUAUCAAUUACAAAGGGACUGCCAAUCAAAAACUUCUCCCCGAUAGAGACAUUAUAUCCCCUUUUCUAUUUAAUCCGAGGGUGAUUUAUAUGGCUCAUUUCAGUUUGUUGAUUAAUACCGUAUUAAGGGUAUUGUGGCGGGGUCAAGGGGAAUUUAAAAAAAGCAGAGAAUUGAAUGAACAUUUUUGAACAUAUUAUUUAAUCUCUUUAAGGACCGUGUGCAAAAUUUCAAGAAUCCCAUGUACACAAUAAUAUUGGGAAUAAUUUCUAAAGUUGCUACUUAUACGCGCUGUUGGAUGGGGCAUCGAUAAUUUUGGCGUUUUUCCUAUGUUAUCCAUCGAGGGAUCACAUGGGAAAGAUGCUAGAUCGAUACUCCAUUCACCACCUGUAUAAGUAGCAACUUGAGCAUUUUUUUCCAUUGUUAUUGCGUACGUGAGGUUCUUGAUAUUUUGCAUCUGGGUGUUCAAUAGAUUGAAUAUGUUAUAGUAUAUUGUGCAUCAAGGGCGGAAAGUCAUGUUUUCUUGUCAUUGUUUUCUUGUCAUGUGUUUUUUUAACACGCCUGCAAAGGAAAGUUCGUAUUUUGCUCUUUGAUGAGCGGGAGGAAAGUACGAACUUUCCGUGCAGGUGUGUGAAAAAAAAAAGUUUUUCACUAAAAGUUGAAUAUCUUCUAAACCACUUGGUCGAUUUUACGUACUCACGAACUCAUUCUGUUGUGACGACACGGGUCGUCAACCCGUAAUUUAUUUUUUAUUUGUAAAAUUUGUUUAUUUUCAUUUUUAAAUGAAAAUCAAGACCUUCUAAGGCAAAAUUGUGAAAAAUUAGCCUCUAGGAGACUUCUCUCGUCCAUGAGAAUCGGGAAAGGAAAUACUUUAAACCUUUUCCAAUUCUAAUACCAUUUGUCAUCUCCGACGGUCAUAACUCCACGACAACAGGUUGAGUCGAGAAGAGGAGGUCCUGAGAAAAAUCUCUUGGGACCAAACAACAUCCAGACCUUCCCGUUCAGGCUAUUGGAAACGAGGAUUGGAUGAUGGCGUCCCUCUACGAAGCCCGUGCUUUUCAAAUGUGAGCAGAUGUCUUCAACUGAGGAUCCAUUGCCAUCAACCACCGAACAACUAUGGUCUAGGGUAGCCUGACGCGAGAAACGACGAGAGGGGGAAGCUUCCCCUUGUCUGAUGAGCAAAACCUACAGGAAGUCAGCGAGGGAUACUCGAAUGUGAAUAAUAUUCCAACGUUGGGGAUAAUUUACGACAUUUAAUCUAAAAUAAUUUUAAAAUAUCGAAAAUAUUGAUUUAUAUCCAUUUUGCAGUUUUUGAGAAAUAAUUUUCAUGUAAAUUAGUUGCGUAAAAUAUUCUAGCGUUUAAUACUUCUGUUAGAACUUCGAUAUCCAAUCAAAUUCCGUGUCUUAUGAAUUUGAGGGGAGGUUCCUCCCCCAAAACAAGAUCAAGCAGGCAUAUCGGUUGAACCGGGCCAAGCUUGAGGAGAGCCGUCUCCUAGCCAGCGCAAGAUGUAGUCCAUUAGUUCUGAUUAAUUUUGGUGUGAAAUUAAAAUGUGAUAAAUUGAAUUCAUUGUAUUUCGAGGUGACGUAUCGACCCUCAACUGAAUAUCGAUCCAUAUUAUGGAUAUUUUAUCAUAAUUUUGAGAAUAAUGAGAAAUUAUAACCCUUAUUCACUUUUCUCGUAAAUUUCAUAAUAUUUCUUUGUGUGAAAUUAUAUUUGAUUAUUCUUGUUAAA